AAAGGAGUAAAGGAUGAUGUCCAGGUUUUGAGCCUUGGCAACCCCAUGGUCAGUGAUGACAUUGACUGAAUUGGUAAAGACUUAAUGAGGAAUAGUCAUGGAAAGGGCUCUGAGGAUGGCAGGAACCAAUAAUUUUAUUUUGCACAUGUUAAAUUUGAGAUGACCGGUAGAGUAGACAUCUACAUUCUGAUGUCAAGUAGGCAUUUAAACAUGUGUGUCCAGAGUCCAAGGGAGAAGACUGAGCUAGAGAUGAAUUCUGGGAAUCAUUCAUGUAUAGAUAGCCAGGAGACUGGAUGAGAUCUAGGGAAUAAAUGCUGAGAAAUGUCAAAGAGACCCUUGGACUAAACCUUGGAGCAAUUCAAUAUUUAGAAGGUGGAUAGUGGAGGAGGAUUCAAUGAAAUAGACUGAGAAGCAGCAUCCAGGGAGGUAGAAAAAUAAUUGGAAGAAUGUGGCAACAAGGAGUCAAGUGACACAAGUGUUUCAAGUGGAGGGCAUGAUCAAUUGUGUCAAAUGUUGCUCUGGGGCUGAUAAAGAAGAGAAUAGAGAAUUGACCAUUUGAUUAGGGUUAUUACCCACUCCCCUCCAGCAUCUGUGAUGAUGGUAGCAGGGUUUUGCUCAAGGGACAAAAGGCAGCAGAUCUGGAAAACCAAAGGAUAAAACAUAUCCUUCAUGCAACUAGACAAUAGACACCUUCUUGAUCUAGAAAAGGAAGAAAUUCCCACCCCCAUCCCAUCCCCCACCAAACCCCAUCCCAGUGGAGGGUAAGUUUCUGAAAUUAGAAAAACCUACAAUGCCUUGUCCUGUAAUUCUGGGCCAGAAGUUCUCAGUUGGACAGGUUAUGACAUUUUGAGUAGGAGAAUUCUGUAAAACUGGCCUUGCCAAUGCAUUACAAGACUUUUGGUAUCCUUGACCAUUGCGUCCCCCAACACUAAAUGCCAAAAUAGUUACACUUACUUUUUAAUGCUCUCCUCUCUACAUGUCCAUUUUUCAUUGUUACCAACUGUAUUUCCAUUUCCUCAGUCUCACUAUUACCUUCCUUCAUACCUUCUUUGAAUGUUUUCUUUUUCAGACAUUUAAUAAUUCAAAUGAAUAAGAAUUAGUGACAUUAUUAUUGGGAUCAAUAAUUGAUGAACUGUAACAAUAGUAGGGAGAUAAUUUGAGGUAAAAUAAACCCUUCAUCUUGUCAAAUAAUAUAAUUCAUUGAACUAUACAUUAAAAAAAUAUUAUCUGCAAGGCUUUGUUCCAAGAGCAGCACAGAGUGCAAAGUGGGAAAUUUUGGUGACUUGAAUUUCAGUGGAAAUGCUGAGCAACUCCUGUUUCUCCCUCCUCUUCCUCCGAAUAAUCUUUAAAAUGUUCUUUUUAGUCUAGCUUUUCUAUCUUUCGCCUUGCUUCCCCAUGUGAUUGCUCAAGAUGAGAGUGAGAAUCUCUCUUAAAAGUCAUCUUAGACAGUCAUCUCUAGUUCUGAGUGACCAGCACUGCUACAAGCUAAUUUAUCCCCAAUUUUACAGUUUGUAUUUGUUAAAAACUUGAGUUUCUGUCAUUCUGUUUGGAUCCUGGGUCCAGUCCUGGCCCUACCCCAUAUUGGUUGUGUCACUUUGUGCCAGGCACUUAGCUUUCUAUGCUUCAGUUUUCCUCAUCUGUAAAAUGGGAAUUCAAUAGUAGUACUAAUCUCAUAGGGUUUUUAUGAGGAUUAAAUAAUAUUCUGUUUAUAAUGACAGUGUCCCAGUGGGGAGCACUAUAAAAUGAGGUUUGCGAAAUAUCACUUUGCACACCAAGAAAAAGUCAUAUUUAUUUCCUCUAAUGAGGACAAGUAUCUCACACUAUUUAGCUUCUUUUGAUUUGGGUGACUUGCAAUCCCAAUCCUCAUUUCCAGAAACUGAAGCAAUGUGUUUCUCUUUUAUGUCAUAAUUUAUUUUUUCACUCUGGUAAAAAAUCAGAGAAAGAAAAUGAUUGAAUUUUGAGUAAAGGUUUUGCACUUUCAGGGCAAACUAGUGCUUAAUAAGAUAAAGUCAUUGAUUCAUAAUGGGGAAAAUAUUAUAUAUUCUGGGUUAGAUUGGUGUAGAUAAAAGUAGAAGUUGAAACCCCUUUGAAAAGGACUACCACUGUAAGCAGUGACCCCAGUGCACAGAAACAAAGAGAGCCCAAAUUAUUUUCUAACCACUUCUCAUUUCAAGGCUCCAGUUAUUUCAAAGAAAAAGUCUAUGAGCAGAGAUGCCGAAACUGAAGAAUGCUGGAGGAGGCUGAUUCUGCAGAGGUUGUUAAAAUGUAGAUUCUAAUGCCCCUUCUCUAAACAUUUUUCUGUGAUUGAGUUGGAGUUCAGAAACUUGCUCUUUUAAAAAGCAUCUAGGCAAUUCUGAUGCAGGUUAUCUCUGAGGUAGAUAUUAGCACACUCUGUAUCCAGACUGCUGGACUCUGUUUCUGAAUAUAUGUGAUGUACAAGUGUUAACAUAAUAGUGAUUUUUUUUCUCUCAUGUUUGUUAUUGUCCAAUGAUCUGGCUAUGCCAUACCACAAAUAUGAAUAACAGUGGGAAAAUGCAGUUAAUUUACAAAAUACAUUCAAAUACACUUAUGUUUGGUAUUAUAUACACAAAAUAUCUGUAUGGAUGAUAGAAUCUUUUUGUUUUCUUUACCAGUAUGUUUUGUGUUUGUUUUAGCAGCCAUUUAAGUGUUUUCUUACUGUCAUUGUGACAAUUAACUUCAUGUGUCAACUUGACUAGGCUGCAGGAUGUGCAGGAGUUUGGUUAAAUGUUAUUCUGGGCAUGUCUGUGAGGGUGAUUCUGGAUGAGAUUCGCAUUUGAAUUAGUACACUGGGUAAAGCCAAUUGUUCUCAAUGUGGAUGGGCCUUAUCCAACCCAGUGGAGGUAUUCAUCUUCCAGAAGACAUAUUAUGGGAGCUCUCAGUCUCCAGGAUCAUGCACAAAACAGAUGGGGCUUCUGGAUGGGACAAGCUCCAUAGUGGAAAGAGUGCCUGAAGCUUUGUGGCGUUCUCUGCAGGCAAGAUUGCAAGAUGGAAAUCUGAGUCUUCCAGUCGAAGUGCAGUUGUAGAUGCAACAUUUUGAAGACAGAAAGAAAACAGAUUUACAGCGCAAACUUGGAGCUGAGGGUAUCUGUUUUCCAGUAGAAGAAAAACAUUAUUUAUCAUUUUGAAAAAAAUAAUGAUUGAGUGACACUGUGUUUUUUAAUAUAAAGUGGGGGUUGGCAAUGUACAGCCCACCAAACAAACCUGGCCCUUGCCAGUUUUUCUUUUAAAUAAAGUCUUAAUGGCACACAGCCAUGCUCAUUUGCUUAUGCAGUUUACUGACACUUGGCCUAGAGCAUGAAAAACAGGUAUUGGUAUGCUCCAAUUUUAUUUAUUCCCACUUUUUUAUCAUGCUAAGAAUCCUCUUUUAUUGAAAUGAAUAAGAUAGGAAUUUUGAGGUUUAAAUCUCCAAAUAUUUUUGGCAUGGAUUCCAAAUAAUGAAGUCCUCAAAAUCCUGUCAAACAGCAUUCAUACCAUUGAACUUCAAUGGAAUAGCACCAUAAGAUUUAGAGGCUACAAUUCUAGGUAGAAUUUGCAAGCCGAAUUUAUAUCUUAGUGUUUCCACAUCAAACCUUUGAAAGAUUAUGCAAUCCCACACAUUACAGAAUAUGCCCCAUUUCUUAUAGAAAUACAACUGCCACCUAUGCCUCCAGACCUUUUAUGACAGCCCUUCCAUCUCUGCCACAAUGGUUAUUAUAAGUUGUCAACUCUGCAUAUCAUCCCUACAUCAAUCACAGGAGGAGAGGAAGAUCCUCAAGAUUUUACCCCUCUGGCUCCAGUCGGCCCUGCAUCUAAAUUGUCCAGGAGAGACAACUGCAUGCUGUACUUCUAAAAAUAUGUUUUGUGGAGUGAUUAAUUUUUACUAACAACCUUUAGAAUUAGAAAGUUUUCUUUGGCCUAAUCCUUUACUAUGGUUUGAUUCCAUUCUCUCCUCUAACAGCAGAGGUGAGAAAUAGAGUAAUUCCUUGAUCACAUUUAAAAGUGUUUGAGUCGUAAUAUUUCUAACAUCUCAGGUUUUGAUUAUUCUAGCAAUGCCUCUACCCACAAAAGAUGGCUCAUUUUCAUUCUUCUUUUUCAUAAGGUGACAACAGAUGCCUAGCACUCCCCCUUUAGAGACCUCUAUGGUUUUGUUGAAUUUAUUUUUAUUUAUUGUUCUUCCCUUCAGAGCAUAAGAGCUAAUAUUUACUCAUUUCUUAUUUUGUUGUAGACACUGAAAAGCAUGUCUCAUUUCAGUCCUUCCAGUGAUGUAUAGGAUAUUUCCUGUAAUUAUCCCCAUUUUAAAAUAAGAAAGCAAAGGCUUGGAGAUAACAUCAUUUAUUCAAUAUCACACAGCUAUAAAGUAACAAGGCCAGGAUGCAAUUCCAAGUUGGUCUGAUUCCAGAGAUUUUUUUUUUCUUUUUUUUUUUUCCCACUCAGCUCUGCAGCUUUGAGUACAGAGAUUGACUUUAACGCAUCUUCAUUCCCUCAGGGUCCAGCAUAGGUUCAAGUAUAUAAGGGAUCCUCACUGAAAUGUUUGUUGAAUAAAUCAAUGGCUAAACAAAUUUUUAACAAGGUGUUUAAAAUCCAUAUCAAGAAUAUUAGCUAUAUUCUUAACACUUGCCAUGUCUUGGUAUAAGCUGUGACUUUGCCAGCUUCUUUACUUAACAAUUUGUUGGAACUAGAUAUUCAGACAUCCAGUGAAAAAGGAAAAUUGGAGAGUAAAUACCAGGGGACAAAUGAAUGUAAGUUACUUAGGAGAACAAAUCAGAAAAUAAUCCUAAAACUUGCUAUCUCUGAACGAGUUUACUUUAGCUAAUUUUUAAUGUCAUUCCUUCAUGGUUAAGACCUUUUCAUUGUAUAUUGUUGGGCCACUGAUUCCCAGACAUUUGCCCACAUUUAAGUCUUCUUACAUCACUCAUUCGUAUUGGAGCUGCUCCUUUAUGGAAACAAAAUAACUGAAGAUGCAAGUAGCUUUUGGGGGAAGCACUGUUCCUAUGAAGCUUUUUGAGUGAAUUCUCCCAGUCUCCUCUUAAUAGGAUUCUGAUAGAAUUAGAAGUGUCAGUUAUAGUCUCAGUACCAUGACUUCAGUUUAAAUUGAAUGAAUAUAUAUUCAAUUAAUA
rnacentral:lncRNA from 10 species